rnacentral:rRNA from 1 species
AUUGAACGCUGGCGGAAUGCUUUACACAUGCAAGUCGAACGAUGAUCCUUAGCUUGCUAAGGGGAUUAGUGGCGAACGGGUGAGGAAUGUAUCGGAACGUAUCCAAUAAUGGGGGAUAACUAGUCGAAAGAUUAGCUAAUACCGCAUACGUCCUACGGGAGAAAGCUAGGGACCUUCGGGCCUGGCGUUAAUGGAGCGGCCGAUAUCUGAUUAGCUAGUUGGUGGGGUAAAGGCUCACCAAGGCGGCGAUCAGUAGCUGGUCUGAGAGGACGAACAGCCACACUGGAACUGAGACACGGUCCAGACUCCUACGGGAGGCAGCAGUGGGGAAUUUUGGACAAUGGGCGAAAGCCUGAUCCAGCCAUUCCGCGUGAGUGAAGAAGGCCUUCGGGUUGUAAAGCUCUUCCGCAAGGGAAGAAAACUUAAGCUCUAACAUAGCUUGAGGUUGACGGUACCUUGAUAAGAAGCACCGGCUAACUACGUGCCAGCAGCCGCAGUAA